rnacentral:sRNA from 1 species
UGUGUUGUCCUAACUGGGCAGUAUCCUGUGCUCAGAGAAUAGCAAAUGUCCUGAGAGGGUUGAAGACCCAGGGCUGAACUCAGAAGCCACAUUUUAGCUUUGCAGCAAGUUGCUCACAUUGCAGAAUCUUCUGGGAGAGCCACCUGCUGGCUGUCCUGUGACACAUGGACUGAAGCAACCGCUUGGACCUCCAGGCUGGCCCUGUAGACCCUGGUGCAUCCUGGAGAAAGCCAACAGAAACAGGCUGCAUGCACAGCACUCCCUCCCCACUCGCUGAGGGGCUCUCGGUCACUGCGUUUCUGAUACUCCUGCAGCUGUCUCAGAGGACCUAGCUAAGUCCAGAGAUACCACGUGACAGACACAGGAAGAGGCCUCGUACCUGGCAAAAAAAUCUGGAGGUGGCGGGAUCCCAUCCACCUGUGACCUCUGGCUUUUGUCACCGGGGCUGCCCUGAGUCAGAAUGGGCCAGAAAAGUUAAUGCUUAACCCGGAGGUUCUGAGAGAGCCGCUGGCCACUACGUCAGCACUCCGAGGGGACUCGGGUCAUCGCAGACAACCAGCCCUGGUUCAAAGUCCGGAGUCCCCACGAGGUUGCCUGCCAGUGGGAGAAUGCUGGUGUUGAUGCCCCAGAACUUGAGGACUGUGGUUCCAGAAUGCUGACCAUGGUGGGCAGCUACAGCCUCAGGCUGAACCUGUGGGUGACCGUGUGGCUGGUAUCCAUGGGACAGGUCCAUGCUGACUCAGGCAAGAGCUAGGGUAUCAUCAUAGAUGAAGGGUGGUGGAGGCCAGGCCUCAUGGUGGGAGGUUGAGGGCGGAAAGGAAGGAUGCCCAGGGGAGAAGUCACUGCCCAAGUUGGGCCAAGAUGCCACUUGGAACUUUCUGAAUGAAGACCAUGGAUCCUGGGAGAACAUGAGGAACAGAUGAGAGAGAGAGAGAGAGGCCAUGGGUGAAGUUGGCCGGGCUUCUGGAUCCAUCAGAUGUCAUGGUCACCUGCAAACGUCAUUCUUUUAGUAGCUUCUGAGUGACCACUGGUGGGGCAGGUCCUCUUGGCAUUGGAACAGGCUAAACCAAUAGAGUGAUGCUCACAGGGUAGCUAACGAUGUGUGGGGAGAGGGGUAUUCAGGAAGCCCCAACCGGUACAGUGCACGGAGCCCCAAGAGAUGAGCCAGAGGAAGCUGAGGAGGAAGGGCAGGUGACGUCCCUGCAAAGGUCCCCAGGCAGGAGAACUUAGGAGAGGCUGAGGGGCCUGGGCCUGGGGCUGAAGAUGGAAAGACGCCAGGGAGAGGGCACAGCCAGCGGGGUCUGGGAGAGAGCGAGGUCUCGGGCUGGUGAGAUGGUUUCGCAGGUAAAGGUACCUCUUGGACAGGAUCGACAACCAGAGGGUGGUGGUCCAGCACUCAGGAGGCAGAGGAAGGUGGAGCUCUCUGACUCAAGGGUGGCUUCGUCUACAGAAUCAGGGGCGCCACCUGGUGGCCGGAGUCUCAGCCAUGGAAGCCUCGGACCAGACCUCUGUCCAGGUGUGCCAGUGUCCCGGGUGGGCUCAAAAGACACUCAGACUUUUCUCCACACACCCAGGUACUUGCUAAUGUAAAAAGUGAGUUGCAGCCCACAGAAUCAGGAAGCUGAUGGGCUCCCACGCACUUCAAGAUGGGGGGGUUCUCCCUCUCUGUCAGCUGAGAUUUCUUCUGGUGGGCAGAGAGUGGCGGCGAGAUAACACCAGACGGGGGUGUGACCAGGAGCCAGGUGAGCUUCUAGACGUCUCCUCCCCCCCUUGUUCUCCCUCCACUGAGGAAGAUGAGGAAGACGGAAUGACCACAGACCUCACCAAGGGGAUAGGGAGUGGGACUGGGGGCAGAUGUCACCCUACAGAGUUCCUUCUGUCCACAAAGGUGGCAUCUCACGACAACCACCGGCCUUUGCCUGUCCCAGGGCUCCUUGACCUGUGGUCUGCCUGUUUGCCUGCUGGAGGUGGGAAUGUGGUAGCCAAGACAGAGCAGAUCCACCUGGAGGCACCUCAGCCCCAGGGACUGUCAGCGGGUAUCUGCUGUGCUUCCCCUGGGAUGUGCUUCUCAGUGGGGGCUCCCUGGCCACUUGUCCUGUUCUCUGAUUCAGAGGGCUUCGGAGCACAGAGGCCACUUCCACAUCGUUGGCCGGGGGAAUGAAGCAACUUCACAGCGACCUGUCUGCUCUUGUCACUUGUGGAAGAGGCGAGGCGAGGACCUGGUGGGAGGUCAUUGUCACACCAGGCGUACCUACCCAUUGCUUCCGUGAGACUAACUUUGAGGGGACCACGACAUCCCGACAGCCUACGGCCCCUUCCAAGGACACCCUGGGAUUCAUUUAAGCUUCCGUUUUCCAGAUGGGGAAACUGAGGCUUGGGGAGGGGAACAACAAAUAGAGCUGCACAUAUGCUGAGUGUCCAAGGACCCCGUCAGUCACUUUCCGCUCGGGAAAGUUAGGGGUGGGGGUGGGGGCUCUCCCUGGCUGUGUGACUCGUGGUUCCUGGGCUAGUGUGUAACAUGUCACUGGUGCAGCUGUCUGUGUGGAGACGUUUCCCCACCCCAGGUGCUGCUGUGUUGUGAGUUGGGCUGGAGUACAAGACGGGCCAUUCAGGGUGUCACAGCCCAGAAUGCAAACUGACUGGAGGACAGCCAGCACUAACCAGGGCCUACUGAGUUCUGUUCCAUAAGUCCUGUGUGACUGUCACACUCAAACCAGGUGUGGGCUGGGAAGGAGGGAGGGCAGGGGAGGAAGGAGGCUCCCUGCCAGUCCUGGGUCAGGUUUGGUGACAGUAGAUCGUUAGGAUGAUUAUAGCCAGUCACCUGGCUAGACAUUUUCUCAUCUUGUCCUAAAAACAAACCCCCAGAGGGAGGAAGGUAAUGGCCCUAUCUAACAGAUAUGGAAAUAGAGGCGCAGAGACUAGGAGUCCAAGGUCACACUAUCUUCCUUGUGGGCUGGUUGUGUGCCCUGGGACCCCACUCUCAGCUGGUCCCUCCUCAUCUUUGUCCCUCCCCCUCAUCCCGGAGGUAUUUCCACAGUACAGGGGGCUUUUUCCUACCCACGGGGGUUGUGUAUCCUUGCUCCUGGGUGUAAUCUUGGCGGGCUUUUUGCAGGCCGUGUUACCCCUGGCAAAUAGUUCAACUUCCCCGAGCUCCUUGAAACGGACAGUUCUUCACACAUAGCCAUGGUGGGUAAGCUGGUCUGAUGCUGUCAGCAACUACCGGACAAGCUGUGCGCUCCAGGAAGGAGCAAGCAGGUCUUGCGUGGGUGGGAGCUCUUUACAAACACGUUGCAGGGUUGUCCCGGAAAGGGCGCAGGUCCUUCAACUUUGAGCAUGGGUGUCCGUUGGAGAAAGCUCGCGUAAGGAGAAACCUAGCUUGAAAUGUCUUUAUAGGUUUGGUGUCGUGAUGCAAGACUCCAGGAACCUACUGGAUGCCUAGCCGCACGAGUGCAGGGCACAGGAGUCCUCUGCCUGGCCCACCUGAGACCCUGAAGUUCACUGGGCAUUGAGCUGUUUCCAGUUCCUGGCUCUUAUGACUAGGGCAGCAGUGAACACGGCGGGGCAAGUGUCUCUGUGGUAGGAUGAACAGCCCUUUGGGUACCUGCCCUGGCGAGGUGUAGCUGGAUCUCAAAGCAUGAGGAACCUCCUCCAUGGAUUUUCACAGAGUUUGUACUCACACCAGCACUGGAGGAGUGUCCCCUACCCCCACAUCCUCAUCACCACGAGCUGUCGUCUGUUUUAUUGCCCUUGGCCAAUUCUGACUGGUGUGAGACUACAUUUUGAAGUAGUUUUGAUUUGGAUUUCCCUGAUGGCAAAGACGUUGAACAUUAAACAAAAAACUUUGUCAGA